ensembl:lncRNA
AUGGCAUCUGGAGAUAAUUCUCUCAUCAACAUGUCCUAUUGGGAGUGUGGUAAAAGGAGGAUGCGAUUCUUGUAUAUUACAAACAACAACUCGUUUAAUGUUGCUAAACCAAGCACAAACGAGGAUCAGAUGAUCCCUCUCUUUCUUGGAGCUGAUCUGUUCGCAGACACAGAUGUUCACAGUAAAAAUCAGCCCAGAUACCAUGCGAAAUAUGCUAAACGAGGAUUGGCAACCAAACUGGUUUUCCCAUCAGACUACAGAUUCCAAGGACUGCGACUCCCCUAUUCCAACAACAGUCUGUGGUUCUAUAGUGUUCAUGGAGUUUUUCGAGUGGCAUUUGAACUGUAUAGCAAACAAGAUCAGCUCUCAGUUAUGGAGUCAUUUCAGGAUGUAUGGAAAUCUCGAAUAAAUGACAACAACUUGAACAUGACCUAUCAUCUUGGUGCCCAGGAUGUUCAACCCCAAAAUGAUCAAGAUGCGCAAACAAUUUUGGAAAAUAAUACAUGUUCAUCAUACCAAGUCAAUCGACAGUUUGGCGAAGUAGAAACAAACUUCUUUCCAAUAGUCACAGAUCAGUCAGAUAUUUCAGCAGCUUCAGACCAUGACUACUGUUCCUCAGAGCAAACAAACUUAAGCCAGUCUACUUUACUUGCACAGAAACUUCGAAGCCUAGGGGAAAAAGUGAAGUUAUUUACAAGUAUUGAAGCAGAACAUUUGAAGACUGCCACAAAGGUCCUGGACUAUGUUGAAUACUGUAUUACUGGGAUGAUUGACGAGGAAAAACUGAUGGACACUGUGAUGGCCCUGUUUCAAACUCAUUUUCAGAGCUACUCCAUCUACUCAAGCAGUCUGCUGAAGGCUGUGGCAGGUUGGCUUGGCCAGCAGUUCAAUGCAGCCAACAGCACCAUUAGCCACCGGGUUGAAGGUUUUAAGGCCCAACACAUUGAGCACAUUACAAACUUGCCGCCUCCAGAGGAGCUGGCAACUGAACUUUUCCCAGAGGCAAUGCGAAAUCUUCUUACACACUGGAUGGGUCUGAGUGAUGAGGCAGAAAACUGGAAAAGACACAGCGAAUACCCCAUUUUAUUACUUAUUCUAGAAUUUGCUAAUCACAAUCUUAUCACAGGAGUAGCUCAUGUCUUGUAUUCCAGUCUAAUAUGCAAAUAA